rnacentral:rRNA from 1 species
UACAGAGGGUGCAAGCGUUAAUCGGAAUUACUGGGCGUAAAGGGCGCGUAGGCGGCUCAUGAAGGCUGUGGUGAAAGUCCGGGGCUCAACCUCGGAUCGGCCGUGGCGACUCGUGGGCUGGAGCACUGUAGAGGCGGGUGGAAUUCCGGGUGUAGCGGUGGAAUGCGUAGAGAUCCGGAAGAACACCAGUGGCGAAGGCGGCCCGCUGGGCAGUGGCUGACGCUGAGGCGCGACAGCGUGGGGAGCAAACAGG